rnacentral:lncRNA from 1 species
UGAUGUUAUGAUGCAUAUACUCGUGUGAUUGUGUUAUACCGUAUGGUCCUUGGCUUGAAGGGUUGACAUGUUUGAGCUUGAUAUAACGGGGGAAACCCAUCAGGCCACAAACUUCCAGGUAGGAAUGAUAUGUGAGGAUCUGACACUCGGAUAGAGUGUCGUGAGAGUCAUUGGUCCCACCUGAGUGAUGCGUCUUGUCCGGGCCGUACCAAAAUUAGUUUCGGUCAUGAUGUGAAAAUAAUGUGAUAGGGAUAUCUACCCUCGACCAUGUAGUUGCAUAAC